GCUCAGUUGUGAUAAUUGGUAGUCGUGCUGUCUUGAAAACAGUUGGUCUGAAAGGACUUGGGGGUUCGAGUCCCUCACUGAGCG
rnacentral:tRNA from 1 species